rnacentral:misc_RNA from 1 species
AUAGGCUGUGAGCCAAGGAGAC